UCUGACGAGCAUGCGCCAGCUGACAGGAUCAUCGCGGCAUCGUCAAGCAACCUUCAAGAUACGACGCCCUAUGUGCACCAGGCGUGUCAUCUUAUCAACUCGGUGACAUCAUCGAACACUGGCGAAUUCAAGUAUAAAUACCGGAGCCUGUUGGAAGAUUCUUUCAGUGGGCUUGGUGACACCGCUGGCAGACGGAUGCUUAUCCCAAUUCUUUUUGUCCAGAUUGCUUGGUGGGCGCAUUUCGCCGUAGGAUCAAGGAACCCUGCCGUGGAAAUUGCUUCCUCUGACGAGCAUGCGCCAGCUGACAGGAUCAUCACGGCAUCGUCAAGCAACCUUCAAGAUCCGACGCCCUAUGUGCACCAGGCGUGUCAUCUUAUCAACUCGGUGACAUCAUCGAACACUGGCGAAUUCAAGUACAAAUACCGGAGCCUGUUGGAAGAUUCUUUCAGUGGGCUUGGUGACACCGCUGGCAGAUGGAUGCUUAUCCCAAUUCUUUUUGUCCAGCUUCAAUUCCGGCUCGAUACACUGCUCAAAAUGGCGCUCCCAUCACGACGCUAUUGCUUCACGUUGCCACUAAUUCCCACGUCAGUCAUCUGCGCACGCACAGCGGUGGUGAGGUGUGGUCAAAGCCGCCGAACAAAGCAUCCGUGGAGAUUAAAAUGCAACUGGCGACGGCGACUUUGCCUCUACACCCAGCACCCGAAGCCCACCCUCUCCUCUAGCCUCCUGAUGGAUGCUUGCGGCAUUGCCGUCGGAGCAUCAUUCAGCACGGUGGUUCAAGCGCUUUAUUUAGUGUUCUGUUGGAGGAAACAAGGUUGUGGGUUUGAUUCCAAGUGAGGCAGCCGCAUUUCAAUGAUGGGGGAAUGCAAAAAAAUAAAAAUAAUAGACCGUGUUACCAGAUUUAGGCAUAUGUUAAAAAAUACCCCCCGGCGAUUAAAGUUAAUCUGGGGUCCUCCACCAUGACACCUUUCGUAGCUUCAGUGUUGCUUGUGUUUGCGUGCGAAAGCACGGUAUACCACGACGCGAAUGAAUUAAUAUUAGCAGUCCAAGCACAUGGCGUCUCCCAGUAUAAGCGAAAAUUAUCUUCCCUAAAAGUGGUCUAUAUUGGGUGGCAUUGAGGCUUCCUUCGCUUUCUGAGUAAGCUGUAAGCCCAGCAAUAGCCGUUUGAUCACGAAACUUUAAAAAAAUAAAUUACGCGUUGUAGAUACCCAUCCGGGUGCCUAACUAAGGGUGACGCUUCCGGAUCAGGAAUUGCAGGCUUGAUUAUGUGUCGCUUUACCACACUAAACGUGUUGCCGACGUCCGUGCAUGAGCCUGCAUCAGAUGCCACUUCAGGUAUCCAUCCUUAGUGUACUUUGUAGCGUGUGAAGGCAUCAUUGAUGAUGCUUCUGAAAAAUUCACGACAGGUGCGUCACUUUCAAUUAACGUUUGGUACGGUGCUCUUUCGUUUGGUACUUUCACGCUCGCCAGCACUGCUCGUGUAAUCCUUGUAAGUGCGGCCAUGUUCCGUACCAAUGAAAUGAGAAAGCAGUAAUGAUACGCUGGCACUUUCCCUCAGCAAACAAUCUGAGGCCUUAAA